rnacentral:rRNA from 1 species
GACGAACCGUGCGAACGUUAUUCGGAAUCACUGGGCUUAAAGCGCGUGUAGGCGGAUGAGCACGUCUGUCGCUGAAAUCCCCCGGCUCAACCGGGGAACGGGCGCGGAUACGGCUCGUCUCGAGGGGCGUAGGGGGACCUGGAACUUCCGGUGGAGCGGUGAAAUGCGUUGAGAUCGGAAGGAACGCCCGUGGCGAAAGCGAGGUCCUGGACGCCUACUGACGCUGAGACGCGAAAGCCAGGGGAGCGAACGGG